CACGUAGUUAGCCGGGGCUUCUUAGUCAGGUACCGUCUUUUUUUCGUCCCUGCUGAUAGAGCUUUACAUACCGAAAUACUUCCUCGCUCACGCGGCGUCGCUGCAUCAGGGUUUCCCCCAUUGUGCAAUAUUCCCCACUGCUGCCUCCCGUAGGAGUUUGGGCCGUGUCUCAGUCCCAAUGUGGCCGGUCGCCCUCUCAGGCCGGCUACUGAUCGUUGCCUUGGUGGGCUCUUACCCCUCCAACUAGCUAAUCAGACGCGGACUCAUCCUGCACCGAAUUUCUUUUCCUACUCCCUCAUGCGAGGCUGUAGGCUUAUGCGGUAUUAGCAGCCAUUUCUAGCUGUUGUCCCCCUGUGCAGGGCAGAUUAUCCACGUGUUACUCACCCGUCCGCCACUCAGUCAGGAAGGUGCAAGCACCCUCCUGCUUCGUUCGACUUGCAUGUGUUAAGCACGCCGCCAGCGUUCAUCCUGAGCCAGGAUCAAACUCU
rnacentral:rRNA from 1 species